rnacentral:rRNA from 1 species
UACGGAAGGGGCUAGCGUUGUUCGGAAUUACUGGGCGUAAAGAGCGCGUAGGCGGCUUACCAAGUUGGGGGUGAAAUCCCGGGGCUUAACUCCGGAACUGCGUUCAAAACUGGUAGGCUCGAGUCCGGAAGAGGUGCGUGGAAUUCCCAGUGUAGAGGUGAAAUUCGUAGAUAUUGGGAAGAACACCGGUGGCGAAGGCGGCGCCCUGGUCCGGUACUGACGCUGAGGCGCGAAAGCGUGGGGAGCAAACAGG